AUCUAGACAACACAAAGGAUGUUCGACCCGCACCUAUAAACCCUAUCCUUCCUGCUAACGAGAUGUGAUCUGCAAAGGUAAUUCGGAAUUGUCACGUUCCUCACUACUACCAUGGUCCAGCUAGUCAGUGAAUAUCUAUGAGUACCCCAGCCUAAACACCACGUUUACGCCAGCAAUGAUUACUCUAAACUCUACGCGAAGAGAUUAAAG
rnacentral:lncRNA from 1 species